UCUCGCCGAUUCCGUCUCACCGCCAUUUUAACGAGUUCAAGUUCUUGAGAAGGAAACCCAAGAACCUAUGCUAUGGCUUUUCUAUUCCGUGGCUCGUGUCGGUUGGUAUUGCGGCUGAUAAAACAUAUAUACAAAUCUGUUGAAAGAGAGGCCAAGGCGAUAGGCCCAGAGAUGAAGGAAGUCGGCACCGACGACGCUGGAACGUCCACGUGUCCAGAUGAUCCCCCACCCCCUUCACCUCUAGAGGCCAAGGCGAAAGGCCCAGAGAUGAAGGACGUCGGCACCGACGACGCUGGAACGUCCACGUGUCCGGUUGAACCCCCACCCCCUUCACCUCUAGAGGUCAAGGUGAAGGCAAGUUUCGAGAGAACGUCACUCGUCACUUCAACAGUUCAACAAAGCAGAUUGACAACUACUAAGUUCAACUUUUCUGUGCUUUUUCGGGAAUCAAAGGCCGAGAGAGGUACAAAGGAUUGAAC